CGAGAAAGCGGGGGCACUCCGUGAGUUAAGUGGCGACCGGGUGAGUAACACGUGACUAACCUACCCUGAAGUGGGGAACAACUCCGGGAAACCGGGGCUAAUACCGCAUGAUAUCGCGAGGGGAAGAUCCUUGUGAUCAAAGGAGAAAUUUGCUUUAGGAGGGGGUCGCGGCUGAUUAGUUAGUUGGUAGGGUAACGGCCUACCAAGACGAAGAUCAGUGGCCGGACUGAGAGGGCGCACGGCCACACUGGAACUGAAACACGGUCCAGACUCCUACGGG
rnacentral:rRNA from 1 species